rnacentral:sRNA from 1 species
GCCAGGCAUAGUGGCUCAUGCCUGUAAUCCCUGCAACUUGGGAAACUGAGGUAGGAGAACAGCUAGUUCAAGACCAGCGUGGGCAAUAUAGCAAUACUCUGUCUCAA